UUGGGUCAACUUAGCCGCACUUUAUAAUUUAUUCCCCAUUUCAAAACAUAAAUUUAUAUUCUACCAAAAAAAACAUAAAUUUAUAUGCAUACUAAGACCCAUCUCUACCUAUGAUGUCAUGUGGGCUGGGUACACUAAAUUCUUAUCGGGUCGUUUUCCAGCUGCAUCUCGAGAGACCCGUCCUAUUUGUUGUUAUCUAAUUUCGUCCACAAGCAAAGCUGAUGGAAUCCCCUCCCCGACAAGAGUUGCACCAAUCCCCACCAUCCAAUCGAUGGAUCUCCACCACCAUCUUCCCCGACAGUC
rnacentral:lncRNA from 1 species